GGAAGCGUGCCCGAGCAUCAGGGGCUACCUUGAUAGAGUAGCUACAGGACAUAAAUCCUCACUUCCC
rnacentral:tRNA from 1 species